GGGCGUAUAGCUCAGCUGGUUAGAGCNNAGAGCGCGUCACUGAUAAUGACGAGGUCCAUGGUUCGAGUCCAUGUACGCCCA
rnacentral:tRNA from 1 species